rnacentral:rRNA from 1 species
AUUGCACGCUGGCGGCAGGCCUAACACAUGCAAGUCGGACGAGUGGCGGACGGGUGAGUAAUGUAUUGGAAACUGCCUGAUGGCGGGGGAUAACUACUGGAAACGGUAGCUAAUACCGCAUACCAUCAGAUGUGCCCAUAUGGGAUUAGCUAGUUGGUGGGGUAACGGCUGACCUAGGCGACGAUCCCUAGCUGGUCUGAGAGGAUGACCAGCCACACUGGAACUGAGACACGGCCCAGACUCCUACGGGAGGCAGCAGGGGGGAAUAUUGCACAAUGGGCGCAAGCCUGAUGCAGCCAUGCCGCGUGUAUGAAGAAGGCCUUCGGGUUGUAAAGUACUUUCAGCCGGGAGGCGUUACCCGCAGAAGAAGCACCGGCUAACUCCGUGCCAGCAGCCGCGGUAAUUC